rnacentral:rRNA from 1 species
GAAAUUGAACUCGCUGUGAAGAUGCAGUGUACCCGCGGCAAGACGGAAAGACCCCGUGAACCUUUACUAUAGCUUGACACUGAACAUUGAGCCUUGAUGUGUAGGAUAGGUGGGAGGCUUUGAAGUGUGGACGCCAGUCUGCAUGGAGCCGACCUUGAAAUACCACCCUUUAAUGUUUGAUGUUCUAACGUGGACCCGUGAUCCGGGUUGCGGACAGUGUC